CGCGGGGUGGAGCAGCCCGGUAGCUCGUCAGGCUCAUAACCUGAAGGCCGCAGGUUCAAAUCCUGCCCGCAACCA
rnacentral:tRNA from 1 species